AUUGAACGCUGGCGGCAUGCUUUACACAUGCAAGUCGAACGGUAACAGGCCGCAAGGUGCUGACGAGUGGCGAACGGGUGAGUAAUGCAUCGGAACGUGCCCAGUCGUGGGGGAUAACUACUCGAAAGAGUAGCUAAUACCGCAUACGAUCUAUGGAUGAAAGCGGGGGACCGUAAGGCCUCGCGCGAUUGGAGCGGCCGAUGUCAGAUUAGGUAGUUGGUGGGGUAAAGGCUCACCAAGCCAACGAUCUGUAGCUGGUCUGAGAGGACGACCAGCCACACUGGGACUGAGACACGGCCCAGACUACUACGGGAGGCAGCAGUGGGGAAUUUUGGACAAUGGGCGCAAGCCUGAUCCAGCAAUGCCGCGUGCAGGAAGAAGGCCUUCGGGUUGUAAACUGCUUUUGUACGGAACGAAACGGCUCUGGUUAAUACCCGGGGCUAAUGACGGUACCGGAAGAAUAAGCACCGGCUAACUACGUG
rnacentral:rRNA from 1 species